rnacentral:lncRNA from 1 species
AGAAAAAAUAACCAACAAACUAUAUCGCUUGCCCAGCUAACAGAUCUCAUUAUAAACAUGUCCAAAGAAAAGAACAAGAAAACCAACAAACUAUGUCGCUUGCCAGGCUAACAGAUCUCGAUAUAACACAUGUAAAAAACCGAAUGAAGAGAAAGAACCAACGAACUAUGUUGCUUGCCUGGCUAAUACAUCUCACUAAACAUGUUCAAACGAAAGAGAAAAUAACCAACAAACUAUGUUGCUUGCCCAGCUACCAGAUCUCAUUAUAAAAGUAUCUUCGAUCGCCAAGGUCCAGCUCUUCUCCAUCAACUCGUCGCCUUGAUCUAUGAUCGACAAUUGCAUCCUUGAUCUCUCUAUGCCCUUGUCCCUGAAAACAUCUUCUUAGAUUCUUUAUGCUUCUUCCUGGACGUCAUCCCCACCUUGAUUGGUCAUAACUGAAGACCUGCCCACUAUCGUAGGGAGAAAACAAUUAACACAUGAGAUAGUUUAUCUCUGAUCUCCUGCUUAUAUAAAACAUAAGAUGUUGUUGUUUGCUUGUCCUUCGUCCAUCUUCUUUAUUGUGUUUCUACUCACUCUUUCCCUUUUGAUUUCCACCCUUCAAUCUCUUCCUUUUUCCUAUCAUUUUUCUUAACAAAAAACCUCAACGGUGCCACCUCUUAACAUGUCAAAAUGAAGGAGGAAAAAAACCAAUGAUAUCGCUUGUCCGGCUAACAGAUCUCAUUAUAAACAUGUCCAAAGAAAAGAACAAGAAAACCAACAAACUAUGUUGCUUGUCAGGCUAACAGAUUUCGAUAUAAACAUGUAAAAAAAUGAAUGAAGAAAAAGAACCAACGAACUAUGUUGCUUGCAUGGCUAAUAGAUCUCAUUAAACAUGUUGAAACGAAAGAACAAAUAGCCAACAAACUAUGUUUCUUGACCAGCUACCAGAUCUCAUUAUAAAAGUAUCUUCGAUCGCCAAGGUCCAGCUCUUCUCCAUCAACUCGUAGCCUUGGUCUAUGAUCGACAAUUGCAUCCUUGCUCCCUCUGUGCCCUUGUCCCUGAAAACAUCUUCUUGGAUUCUUUAAGCUUCUCCCUGUACGUCAUCCCCACCUUGAUUGGUCAUAACUGAAGACCUGCCCAAUAUCGUAGGGAGAAAACAAUUAACACAUGAGAUAGUUUCUCUCCGAUCUCCUGCUUAUAUAAAACAUAAGAUGUUGUUGUUUGCUUGUCCUUCAUCCAUCUUCUUUAUUGUGUUUCUGCUCACUCUUUCCCUUUUGAUUUCCACCCUUCAAUCUCUGCCUUUUUUCCAUCAUUUUUUCUUAAAAAACGCCUCAACGGUGCCACCUCUUAACAUGUCAAAAUGAAGGAGGAAAUAAACCAACGAACUAUAUCGCUUGCCCGGCUAACAGAUCUCAUUAUAAACAUGUCCAAAGAAAAGAACAAGAAAACCAACAAACUAUGUCGCUUGCCAGGCUAACAGAUUUCGAUAUAAACAUGUAAAAACCGAAUUAAUAAAAAGAACCAACGAACUAUGUUGCUUGCGUGGCUAAUAGAUCUCCUUAAACAUCUUCAAAUGAAAUAACAAAUAACCAACAAACUAUGUUGCUUGACCAGCUACCAUCUCAUUAUAAAAGUAUCUUUGAUCGCCAAGGUCCAGCUCUUCUCCAUCAACUCGCCGCCUUGGUCUAUGAUCGACAAUUGCAUCCUUGAUCUCUCCAUGCCCUUGUCCCUGAAAAUAACUUCUUGGAUUCUUUAAGCUUCUCCCUGGACGUCAUCCCCACCUUGAUUGGUCAUAACUGAAGACCUGCCCAAUAUCGUAGGGAGAAAACAAUUAACACAUGAGAUAGUUUCUCUCCGAUCUCCUGCUUAUAUAAAACAUAAGAUGUCGGUGUUUGCUUGUCCUUCGUCCAUCUUCUUUAUUGUGUUUCUGCUCACUCUUUCCCUUUUGAUUUCCACCCUUCAAUCUCUGCCUUUUUUCCAUCAUUUUUUCUUAAAAAACGCCUCAACGGUGC